rnacentral:rRNA from 1 species
AGUGAACGCUGGCGGUAGGCCUAACACAUGCAAGUCGAACGGCAGCACAGUAAGAGCUUGCUCUUACGGGUGGCGAGUGGCGGACGGGUGAGGAAUACAUCGGAAUCUACUUUUUCGUGGGGGAUAACGUAGGGAAACUUACGCUAAUACCGCAUACGACCUACGGGUGAAAGCAGGGGAUCUUCGGACCUUGCGCGAUUGAAUGAGCCGAUGUCGGAUUAGCUAGUUGGCGGGGUAAAGGCCCACCAAGGCGACGAUCCGUAGCUGGUCUGAGAGGAUGAUCAGCCACCGUGGAACUGAGACACGGUCCAGACUCCUACGGGAGGCAGCAGUGGGGAAUAUUGGACAAUGGGCGCAAGCCUGAUCCAGCCAUGCCGCGUGGGUGAAGAAGGCCUUCGGGUUGUAAAGCCCUUUUGUUGGGAAAGAAAAGCAGCAGGUUAAUACCCCGCUGUUCUGACGGUACCCAAAGAAUAGGCACCGGCUAACUUCGU